rnacentral:rRNA from 1 species
CCUACGGGAGGCAGCAGUGAGGAAUAUUGGUCAAUGGACGAGAGUCUGAACCAGCCAAGUAGCGUGAAGGAUGACUGCCCUAUGGGUUGUAAACUUCUUUUAUAUGGGAAUAAAACGUUCCACGUGUGGGAUUUUGUAUGUACCAUAUGAAUAAGGAUCGGCUAACUCCGUGCCAGCAGCCGCGGUAAUACGGAGGAUCCGAGCGUUAGCCGGAUUUAUUGGGUUUAAAGGGAGCGUAGGUGGAUUGUUAAGUCAGUUGUGAAAGUUUGCGGCUCAACCGUAAAAUUGUAGUUGAAACUGACAGUCUUGAGUACAGUAGAGGUGGGCGGAAUUCGUGGUGUAGCGGUGAAAUGCUUAGAUAUCACGAAGAACUCCGAUUGCGAAGGCAGUUCACUGGACUGCAACUGACACUGAGGCUCGAAAGUGUGGGUAUCAAACAGGAUUAGAUACCCGAGUAGUC